rnacentral:tRNA from 1 species
GGGCCUGUAGUUCAUUCGUAUAGCAUUUGACUGCAGAUCAAGAGGUCUUUGGUUCGAACCCGAUUGGGCUUU